GAUAGCAUGGCCUAGUGGUUUGAGUGUUGGUCUGUGACUCCAACGGUGAGGGUUCAAUUCUCCUCUCGGUCA